rnacentral:rRNA from 1 species
AACGAACGCUGGCGGCAUGCCUAACACAUGCAAGUCGAACGAGACCUUCGGGUCUAGUGGCGCACGGGUGCGUAACGCGUGGGAACCUGCCCUUAGGUUCGGAAUAACUCCCCGAAAGGGGUGCUAAUACCUGAUAAUGUCUUCGGACCAAAGAUUUAUCGCCUUUGGAUGGGCCCGCGUUGGAUUAGCUAGUUGGUAGGGUAAAAGCCUACCAAGGCGACGAUCCAUAGCUGGUCUGUGAGGAUGAUCAGCCACACUGGGACUGAGACACGGCCCAGACUCCUACGGGAGGCAGCAGUGGGGAAUAUUGGACAAUGGGCGAAAGCCUGAUCCAGCAAUGCCGCGUGAGUGAUGAAGGCCUUAGGGUUGUAAAGCUCUUUUACCCGGGAUGAUAAUGACAGUACCGGGAGAAUAAGCUCCGGCUAACUCCGUG